UAUUGUGUGUUCCUCUGCCAUGACUACCUAGUCCAAGAGUAAACCCCACCUGCCACAGGGCCCGUGGCCUAGGUAUGGGGGGUUGAGCUUUCAACCCCAAACAAACAACUGAUUCUGGAGACUGGACUUAGGUCUCUCACGAUUCACUCCGGUAGAAGACACGGUGAUUCUAUCUCCCUUGACGGACAGAAUGAUCGAAGACACAGGGCAUGGCGUGUGCCACCCUUUGGCAGGUCUGCUUGAAGUCAGGGAUAAGGGAUGCUUCCUGUGACAACUUGAAUCGCUACUCUUGCCAUUUCAUUAGGCAACUUCCAAACACAAAUUCAUACAGAGAAGUUACCUUCCUCUCUACCGCACUAGCAGGCUGGCGCUGAGAUGGGCAGGUGCUGCAGCAGCCCCGCUGGAAGCGAUGCAGCAUCCAGGACGACGGAGGAAGGGGCGGAGAGGGACCUCUGCUUUCCAGGCUGCCUUUUAUACUGCCUCUGGUCACCUGACAUGGAACGUACCCUAACCUAAUCAGUUACCUGUACCUUAAUUGCAAUUAACUUAAUCCAAUUACAUGACCUGGAAAGGUCUAUCUGCACAGCCCACUCUAAGAUCCUGUCCACUGCUGACAGACAUUCUAAAACCUACUUGUACAGCUGCAAGCUUUGAACAAUAGAUGUUCCCCGUCAGACAUGUAACACUGGUGCCUGUAUCCCUGUCUUCUUUUCCAUCUUUUUUGUUGUUUUGUUUUGUUUCGUUUUAAAAAAUGUGGUAAAAUAGACACCUUUUAAUUGGACCACAUUUUGUCUCUCUCGACGUAGGCCUCAGUGUCAUCAAGGAGACUCUCCUUGACAUGCAGUCACGGCCAUGAUCCAUCUUCAGAGCUUCUCUUUCUUCCCCAAGGUAAGUCUGUCAGCAGAGAACCCUGACCGCACCCUCAUGUGUUUUCUCCCCCAGGAGGCGCUUGGAAACCACCGUGAAUUGGACCGCACUGGGAAACACAGAUGAGGAAAGUCAACAACGCUUUGUCCUUCAGUGCCUGCCUCCUUUUUCAGCUCGUCUUGCGACUCCCGGACGCCUGUGAGGCUGUAAUUCCCUGGGUCCCAUUGCCAUGUCUCUGGAUUUGCGAAGAUCCACCGCACCUUCUGUGGAACUCCCGUGUCGGUGAACUUUUGUGCCACGGCCCCUAAUUCUGCCCAUGGUCAUCCGCACCUGCACGACUUAGGGUCCAUGUUCCUUGGACGGGAAGAGACAGGCAGGAGUCGGAAUGAUGAACCAGCACACUGGGGCGUUUUCUCAUGUAGCCCAAGUGACCCCAUGGUCUUCUCGAGCUUUGGAACCAGUCGCGUCCCCUUUGACACUGCACCCGGCUCCCAGUCUCUCAAUCUUGUUGGCCCUCCGGCGAUCUCCCGUUGGAUGAAUUGCUCCUGCUGAAACUCCAGUCCCCUUUGAUUUGCGCUUCAUUAAUUAUUCAUGAUUCAGGUUGGAAGGCCUGCUGACGACCCCCUGUGGCCGUUCUCUGAGCUUUCCUGUCACAUCGUUUCCUUCCACGCUCUUUGGUUCCUUAUGGUCCUGCUCCCUCUGCUGU
rnacentral:lncRNA from 1 species